rnacentral:rRNA from 1 species
UACGUAGGGUGCAAGCGUUGUCCGGAAUUAUUGGGCGUAAAGAGCGUGUAGGCGGCCAGGUAGGUCUGCUGUGAAAACUCGAGGCUCAACCUCGGGCUUGCAGUGGGUACGGGCAGACUAGAGUGCGGUAGGGGAGACUGGAAUUCCUGGUGUAGCGGUGGAAUGCGCAGAUAUCAGGAGGAACACCGAUGGCGAAGGCAGGU